UAUUAAGACUCAGAAAGCAGGGAGGAGAAGGGACAGAUUUGGAGCAGCUCUCCCCAUCUGUCGUGCCUUUCUCAGUUCCUUUCAUCCUCCAGGAAACUUUCCCUGCUUCCCUGGGCUGCCGGGAGCCUCUCCUCUGUGCUCCCAUAGACCUGGGCCUGUCCCAGCAAAUCUCCUAUAUCCCUGUUCUGCAGCUGUCUCUUUUCUAGGUGCCUUGGGAGGCAGAGAGUUAGCGCCUAUUAUUUCUGACUCAACAGUAGGUGCUGUAGUAGUAAUUCUUAAAAAAAAAUAUUUUAAAAAGUUUUACAAUUAAUUCAUAUUUUAAAUGGAUAUAUAGUAGUUGCACAUGUUUGUGGGUACAGUGUGGCGUUUCAGUCACGUAUACAAUGGGUAAUGAUCAAAUCAGGGUCACGGGCAUAUCUAUGGUCUCAGGCAUAUAUCAUUUCUUUGUGUUGGGAGCAAUUAAAAUCCUCUCUAUUAGCUA
rnacentral:lncRNA from 1 species